GUAUAAGCAUUCUGAAAUCAACUCCUCUCACAUUUUUAGUAGAAAUUUCAUGUAACUUGCUACAAGUCUUUGUUGUAGGUUGGUAAUACACAUAUUUUCAUAUCAUUCCAGUUGGGCUCAUUUUACCAGAUUAUGGCUCUUGAUUAACAAACCUAGACACUGCCAGUUUCAUGAGUUGGUGCCUGCAUUCAGAAAUCAACUUCUCUCACAUUUUUAAGAGG